rnacentral:rRNA from 1 species
AGAGUUUGAUCCUGGCUCAGAUUGAACGCUGGCGGCAUGCCUUACACAUGCAAGUCGAACGGCAGCACGGACUUCGGUCUGGUGGCGAGUGGCGAACGGGUGAGUAAUAUAUCGGAACAUACCCUAGAGUGGGGGAUAACGUAGCGAAAGUUACGCUAAUACCGCAUACGCACUAAGGUGGAAAGUGGGGGAUCGCAAGACCUCAUGCUCAUGGAGUGGCCGAUAUCUGAUUAGCUAGUUGGUGAGGUAAAGGCUCACCAAGGCGACGAUCAGUAGCUGGUUUGAGAGAACGACCAGCCACACUGGAACUGAGACACGGUCCAGACUCCUACGGGAGGCAGCAGUGGGGAAUUUUGGACAAUGGGCGCAAGCCUGAUCCAGCAAUGCCGCGUGAGUGAAGAAGGCCUUCGGGUUGUAAAGCUCUUUUGUCAGGGAAGAAACGGUUGUUCCUAAUACGGAUGGCUAAUGACGGUACCUGAAGAAUAAGCACCGGCUAACUACGUGCCAGCAGCCGCGGUAAUACGUAGGGUGCAAGCGUUAAUCGGAAUUACUGGGCGUAAAACGUGCGCAGGCGGUUAUAUAAGUCA